AUUGAACGCUGGCGGCAGGCCUAACACAUGCAAGUCGAACGAGUGGCGGACGGGUGAGUAAUGUCUGGGAAACUGCCUGAUGGAGGGGGAUAAAUACUGGAAACGGUAGCUAAUACCGCAUACCAUCGGAUGUGCCAAGAUGGGAUUAGCUAGUAGGUGGGGUAACGGCUCACCUAGGCGACGAACCCUAGCUGGUCUGAGAGGAUGACCAGCCACACUGGAACUGAGACACGGUCCAGACUCCUACGGGAGGCAGCAGUGGGGAAUAUUGCAAAGUGGGCGCAAGCCUGAUGCAGCCAUGCCGCGUGUAUGAAGAAGGCCUUCGGGUUGUAAAGUACUUUCAGCGGGGAGGCGUUACCCGCAUAAGAAGCACCGGCUAACUCCGGGCCAGCCGCCGCGGUAAUAC
rnacentral:rRNA from 1 species